rnacentral:rRNA from 1 species
UUGCUUGCAAACUGGAGAUGGCGACCGGCGCACGGGUGAGUAACACGUAUCCAACCUGCCGAUAACUCGGGGAUAGCCUUUCGAAAGAAAGAUUAAUACCCGAUGGCAUAAUUAGACCGCAUGGUCUUAUUAUUAAAGAAUUUCGGUUAUCGAUGGGGAUGCGUUCCAUUAGGCAGUUGGUGAGGUAACGGCUCACCAAACCUUCGAUGGAUAGGGGUUCUGAGAGGAAGGUCCCCCACAUUGGAACUGAGACACGGUCCAAACUCCUACGGGAGGCAGCAGUGAGGAAUAUUGGUCAAUGGGCGCAGGCCUGAACCAGCCAAGUAGCGUGAAGGAUGACUGCCCUAUGGGUUGUAAACUUCUUUUAUAUGGGAAUAAAGUUUUCCACGUGUGGAAUUUUGUAUGUACCAUAUGAAUAAGGAUCGGCUAACUCCGUGCCAGCAGCCGCGGUAAUACGGAGGAUCCGAGCGUUAUCCGGAUUUAUUGGGUUUAAAGGGAGCGUAGGUGGACAGUUAAGUCAGUUGUGAAAGUUUGCGGCUCAACCGUAAAAUUGCAGUUGAUACUGGCUGUCUUGAGUACAGUAGAGGUGGGCGGAAUUCGUGGUGUAGCGGUGAAAUGCUUAGAUAUCACGAAGAACUCCGAUUGCGAA